rnacentral:rRNA from 1 species
AGCGGUAAGGCCCUUCGGGGUACACGAGCGGCGAACGGGUGAGUAACACGUGAGCAACCUGCCCCUGACUCCGGGAUAAGCGGUGGAAACGCCGUCUAAUACCGGAUAUGACCUGCCACCUCAUGGUGGCGGGUGGAAAGUUUUGUCGGUCAGGGAUGGGCUCGCGGCCUAUCAGCUUGUUGGUGGGGUAACGGCCUACCAAGGCGAUUACGGGUAGCCGGCCUGAGAGGGCGACCGGCCACACUGGGACUGAGACACGGCCCAGACUCCUGCGGGAGGCAGCAGUGGGGAAUAUUGCACAAUGGGCGAAAGCCUGAUGCAGCGACGCCGCGUGGGGGAUGACGGCCUUCGGGUUGUAAACCUCUUUUACCACCAACGCAGGCUCCACGUUUUCGUGGGGUUGACGGUAGGUGGGGAAUAAGGACCGGCUAACUA